AUGGUAUUUUCGGGAAAUGCCUCCCCUUCAUGGCAGGCCAUCCAAUAUGACCUCGAGCUCUUGAAAAAGGGUGUGGACAUCAUCGCUUGGGCGCCGGAGAGGAGCGGUAUCUUCACCGUUCGAUCUGCCUACCGCCUUGCCAUGGACGAGCGCGAGCGUCCAUUGGCGUCAGCCAUGAGCAGGGCACCGGAUAAUUAUCGCGCCAUCUGGAAGAUCAUAUGGGGGUGCCCUGCUCCCCCAAAGCAAUGGCCUCAAGGGGAUAUGGAGAAGGGCAAGAUGAUAGUGCAGAUUGAGAAGGGCAAGAUGACAGUCAAGAUGAUAGCUCCUUGGAGCAAAUGUGUCGAGGAAGAAGAUGAGUUCCGUCAGAACGAUGGUGUGGUGACGGUGAUGGUGAAGUGA
rnacentral:rRNA from 1 species